GCACUGCUUGUCUGGCAGCGCUGGUUCAGAGCAGAGGUACCAGCAGCAUCACAGGACGUGUUUUGCGCCUCUUCCCUUCUGCUGAGGAUGAAGCAUUACGGGGUUAAUAAAAAGCUGCAUCAUCCACUUUUGUGAGCUCCAGAGCACACCUUCACAAGAAGUCCAUAGAGCACGUUAUCAUCCGCGAUAAUUUCCGCUGUGAAGCAUCCACCGCGAGCACGUUGACGCGCUGCGCCCGCCUCCGCCUGCUUCUGCAGAACGAAGGGACGGUUUUGAAGCACCGAAUUGGUCCUCCACGUCCAUUAAUGCCCGGCGUAAGCCCGGACUGGGCCUCGUUCGGUACCCGAGCCACGUAGGACUGGCCGCGUCGCGGGCGGGUUUGCGGGGGGCCGGUCUGGCAGAGGAUAUUCUGAAUGAAUAUCAAUAGGCAAAUAUACACAAUAUGCAUA